AGUGAACGCUGGCGGUAGGCCUAACACAUGCAAGUCGAACGGCAGCACAGUAAGAGCUUGCUCUUACGGGUGGCGAGUGGCGGACGGGUGAGGAAUAUAUCGGAAUCUACUUUUUCGUGGGGGAUAACGUAGGGAAACUUACGCUAAUACCGCAUACGACCUACGGGUGAAAGCAGGGGAUCUUCGGACCUUGCGCGAUUGAAUGAGCCGAUGUCGGAUUAGCUAGUUGGCGGGGUAAAGGCCCACCAAGGCGACGAUCCGUAGCUGGUCUGAGAGGCUGAUCGGCCACACUGGAACUGAGACACGGUCCAGACUCCUACGGGAGGGAGCAGUGGGGAAUAUUGGACAAUGGGCGCAAGCCUGAUCCAGCCAGACCGCGUGGGUGAAGAAGGCCUUCGGGUUGGAAAGCCCUUUUGUGGGGAAAGAAAAGCAGCAGGUUAAUACCCCGCUGUUCUGACGGUACCCAAAGAAUAAGCACCGGCUAACUUCGUG
rnacentral:rRNA from 1 species